CUCACCAUGAGAUGGAGCUGGAUCAUCCUCUUCCUGGUGACAGCAGCUACAGGUGUCCACUCCCAGGUCCAGCUGCAGCAGUCUGGGGCUGAGCUGGUGAAGCCUGGGUCCUCAGUGAACUUGUCCUGCAAGACUUCUGGCUACACCUUCACUAGCUCUCUUAUGAGCUGGGUGAAACAGAAGACAGCACAGGGCCUGGAGUGGAUUGGAUGGAUUAAUCCUUCUCAUGGUGGUACUGACUACAAUCAGAAAUUCAAGGGCAAGGCCACACUGACUGCAGACAAAUCCUCCAGCACAGCCUACACGGAGCUCAGCAGCCUGACAUCUGAGGACUCUGCAGUCUAUUACUGUGCAAGACACAGUGUUUCAACCACAUCCUGA